CGUUAUCACUCCUACGGGGAGGCAGCAGUAGGGAAUCUUCCACAAUGGGCGCAAGCCUGAUGGAGCAACACCGCGUGAGUGAAGAAGGGUUUCGGCUCGUAAAGCUCUGUUGUUAAAGAAGAACACGUAUGAGAGUAACUGUUCAUACGUUGACGGUAUUUAACCAGAAAGUCACGGCUAACUACGUGCCAGCAGCCGCGGUAAUACGUAGGUGGCAAGCGUUAUCCGGAUUUAUUGGGCGUAAAGAGAGUGCAGGCGGUUUUCUAAGUCUGAUGUGAAAGCCUUCGGCUUAACCGGAGAAGUGCAUCGGAAACUGGAUAACUUGAGUGCAGAAGAGGGUAGUGGAACUCCAUGUGUAGCGGUGGAAUGCGUAGAUAUAUGGAAGAACACCAGUGGCGAAGGCGGCUACCUGGUCUGCAACUGACGCUGAGACUCGAAAGCAUGGGUAGCGAACAGGAUUAGAUACCCUGGUAG
rnacentral:rRNA from 1 species